UACGAAGGGGGCUAGCGUUGUUCGGAAUUACUGGGCGUAAAGAGUUCGUAGGCGGUUUAUUAAGUUAGAUGUGAAAUCCCUGGGCUUAACUCAGGAACUGCAUUUGGAACUGGUAAGCUAGAGAGUGUUAGAGGUUGGUAGAAUUCCUAAUGUAGGGGUGAAAUCCGUAGAUAUUAGGAGGAAUAUCGAUGGCGAAGGCAGCCAACUGGGACAUUUCUGACGCUGAGGAACGAAAGCGUGGGUAGCAAACAGG
rnacentral:rRNA from 1 species